ACCUUUGAUUAUCAAUAAAGAACCGCAUUUUCUCACUUCUUCUCUUUAAGUGUUCUUAAGAGAUUAAGCUCGUUCUUUGUCUUGUGUGUGUGAUUCACCAAGACUAAUUUCGUGUACUGUAUUAGAGACUUAUCACAUCUUUGUGGUGUACUUCAAUCCGCCAGCACUUCCCCUCCAUUAGAUCCCACACGAGAGAAGUGAUCGCCAUCGUGUUAAAUCUCCAUCAUCGACCAUCUUUCCUUCACAAGAGAGAAGCGACCGCCAGCUUGUGAAGCCACCAUCUCUAUCAGAUACAAAGCUCACCACCGAGUCUUGUAUCAUCUUCUCACUUGGAGAUAAAGCCAAUCUAUGGGAAAAACGUUACCCUAGAAUUCAAUCACAACUUGGGAUGACUGCAAGGAAGCCUUCUUGGCAAAAUUCUUCUCCAACUCCAGAACUACAAGACUCCGGAAUGAGAUAUCCGAAUUCACUCAGAAGCAAACUGAAGCCUUCUGUGACGCUUGGGAGCGCUUGAAGGGUUAUCAAACCAAAUGCCCUCAUCACGGAUUUAAGCAGGCUUGUCUUCUCAGCACACUCUAAAGAGGCGUCCAGCUUAAGAUAAGGAUGCUGCUUGAUACCGCUUCAAAUGGGAGCUUUCUCAACAAGGAUGCUUAAGAAGGAUAGGAGCUAGUUGAAAAAUUGGCUUAGUCGGAUGGUAAUUACAAUGAUGAUUAUGACAGAAGCAUCCACACCAGCUUUGACUCUGAUGACAAGCACCGCAAAAAGAUUAAAACUCUCAAUGAAAAAAUAGACAAACUCCUUCAAGUGCAACAGAAGCAUGUUCACUUCGCCCCUGAAGAUGAACUAUUCCAAGUGCAAGAAAGGGAGAAUGAUCAGUGUGCUGAAAGCAGCUAUCUUCCGAACCAAGGUGGCUACAACAAAGGGUACAACAAUUACACAUCCAACCCGAAUCUGUCAUAUAGAAGCACCAAUGUAGCUAACCCACAAGACUAAGUCUACCUAAGCAACACCAACAACAACAACCCAAAACGUUUGUUCCUUACAACCAAGUUCAGGGGUUUGUUCCAAAGCAACAGUUCCAGGGAGGUUAUUGAUAUAUCCCUAUUUUCACUGAUUUUAUCUAUGUCUUAGGGUUAGGAUUUUGAGUCUUUAUGUUAUAUCUCUAAUCUUUUUAGUGUCUUUCAGGUAUCUUAUGCAUUGGGACAACAAUGGAGAUAAGGAGACAUUUUGGAGCAAAAGCUUAGGAAAAGGAAGCUAAGGACGUUUUUGGACUCAGGAAUCAAGAGUGUGUCGAUCGACACCAGUUUCGGCCCAGCAAAGUCCUAGACGCUUUCAAGUUUACAGAAUAGGAAAUUUGGCCCAGAAGACUUCCUUAUUUACAUUAUUAGUCCGUAAAUGUUUUAUAGGGUUUAUAUACAUUGUUUUAGACCCUAGUUUUCAUCAAAAAAGUUAUCAUCAAGUUUUUAUCACGCUUUUUGCAAACCCUGUUACAGAGAGACAUAAGCUAUUCAUCGAGUGUUUUCAGAGAUUGAUUCAGUUCUUAAUUCAGUGAAGAGAUCCCUUCUUUCCCUUA
rnacentral:sRNA from 1 species